GAUGAACGCUGGCGGCGUGCCUAAUACAUGCAAGUCGAGCGAACAGAUGAGGAGCUUGCUCCUCUGACGUUAGCGGCGGACGGGUGAGUAACACGUGGAUAACCUACCUAUAAGACUGGGAUAACUUCGGGAAACCGGAGCUAAUACCGGAUAAUAUAUUGAACCGCAUGGUUCAAUAGUGAAAGACGGUUUUGCUGUCACUUAUAGAUGGAUCCGCGCCGCAUUAGCUAGUUGGUAAGGUAACGGCUUACCAAGGCAACGAUGCGUAGCCGACCUGAGAGGGGGCUCGGCCACACGGGAACUGAAACACGGUCCAGACUCCUACGGGAGGCAGCAGUAGGGACUCUUCCGCAAUGGGCGAAAGCCUGACGGAGCACCGCCGCGGGAGUGAUGAAGGUUUUCGGAUCUUAAAACUCUGUUAUUAGGGAAAAAAAAAUGUGUAAGUAACUAUGCCCGUCUUGACGGUACCUAAUCAAAAAGCCACGGCUAACUACGU
rnacentral:rRNA from 1 species